UCGGUGACUCCUUACUGCCAUUUGUUGUAGACAAAGCCUUGUACUUGUAAGCAGAUACAACGGAGCAAAGUUCCAUCACUCAUCAUCCAGGGUGCAGAGUGCAGGAUGUCACCCACUCCCUGCCAAAGUCUCAGCCAUUUAACAAUCAGCUGGGCGUUACCGCUCACAAGUCCAUGGGAGUUGGGUGCCUAACUCAUCUUUGUGCGUUCCUUUGAAAAUCUGCCCCUAAAUCUUCACCACAGCUCUUUGAGGUAGCUCACAAGUGGCCUAAAUAUGCAUUCAGAAAAGUUCAUUUCCAGUCUCAUCCCAUCUAUGUGUGCAGAGAAUGCACAGGUAUGGAUAUUUCAGCAGGGCUCGCCUUUCCCUUUCUCUAAUAAACCUGAUUGUUCUACCUCCACUAAGGGAAUAUCUGAUCCUUGCUCUAAGGACCACAGCCAAGAUUUUCAAAGGGGCUAGAGGUUUUGAGUGUCUCAAUUUUUGGGUACCCACUGAGACACCAUAAAGGGGUUUGAUUUCCAGAAAGUGCUGGGCACUCACCCUCUGAAAAUCAGGCCCCUUUAAAGUGUCUCCAGCUGGGUAUCCAAAAUCACUAGUCAUUUUGAAAAUCUUGGUCCAAGUUCCUGAUCUUGAUAGCAGUUCUCAAAGUCUGAGGACCUAGUUCUCCCAUGGCCUGCACCUUAUGCAGUCACUUGCAUCAGUGCAAAGUAAGUGUGAAACACUCAUUCUACAUCUUCUUUCAGCACAAGGUGCAGAACAACAGAGAAUCAGGCCCAGAAUGUCUCUUCUCCUUUGUGAUUCUAGAAUGAUUGGCUGGCAUGCCCUUCAGAGACUGCACACUUUGGGCUAAUUUCAAAGAGCUCAGACAUGGUGACGUAAAUUACACAUUGGCAAAUUGCUAAAUGGAACCUUGCUGGUGUAAUUUGCUCACUAAGGGGAGAUUGACACUGCUGCAAUUGAUGCAGCGGGGAUCGAUUUAGUGGGUCUCGUGAAGACCCGCUAAAUCGACAGCAGAGCGCUCUCCAUUCGACCCUGGUACUCCACCUCUCCGAGAAGAGUAAGGUAAGUUCCCUGGAGAGCAUCUCCUGUCAAUGCAGCGCAGUUAAGACACCAGGGUAAGUCGACCUAGGCUACAUCAACUCCAGCUACGUUAUUCACCUAGUGGAAGUGAAAACAACCCCUAAGAGUAAAAUCCUAGUGCUACUGAAGUCCAGUAGCAAAACUGCCAUUUGUGACACUAUGCCACAUAUUCUUCAUAGAGAUAUUAUUGUGAUAUGAUUAUUGCAUAACUAUGAUGUACUUUUUGCAAGAUAGGUCAUGUGAGAUAUCAUUGAAAAGGUUAUGAUUUACUGAAUAUGAUUAUCCUAUUUGUAUGCAUGUAUCAUUUUGGUAUCUGAAGUUAGGAAUAUUGUCUGUGCAUCUAUUACAAAUGUGUUUACACCUGGGGAACGCCCACUAGGCAGAAUGCAAUCAGUCUAGAUGGCUGCCUGGGUCAGGCCUUUAGGGAGAACAAUGGGUCUUAGAAGAAGCUAAUCUUCCACCGGGGAGCCUUCCUGAGGAUACUGCAAACAGCCUCCGGGUCAUGGCUGCUAUGACCAUAUGGGGAAAUGUGACCAAGUCAUCUGGUACUGGACUCCAUCUUGGAAUACCAGUGUCUUUCCGGACGUGGGAACCAAGCUUGGAGACAAAGGAUUCCCAUCAUAAGCAAAAGCUAUUUAAGGCAGGGGAGUGAUAUCAUCGGGGUUUUUCACUGACUCCCUGCCCAAAGGAGACUCUUGGAAACACCUGAGGAACAAGGACUGAAUUGGUGGAGAAGUGUUGGACCCAGGCUAGAGGGAUUUCUAGCCUGUGAAAGAAAUACCUGGGGUUUUUAAGCUGCAAGCAAGGGCAGCUGGCCCCUUAAAAAUCCCUGCAAGCAGCUUAAAUCAUCAUUUAGGGUGAGAAGUUGCUAUUCAUAUCCAAUCUCUUUAGUAUAUUAAGAUUAGAUUGCAUUUUUGUUUAUUUACUAGGUAAUCUGCUUUGAUCUGUUAGAUUUUAAGUGAUUAUAAGGGAUAGUAAUCUUUUGUAGUUCAUAAACUUAUUUUUGCUUUGUCUAAAACCAGUGUGUGGGAGUCAUAACUGGGGGCAGAAAGCUGUAUAUAUUCCCCUCCACGCUGAGGGAGUGAGUGAAUUUCAUGAGCUUACGCUGUGCAGUUUUCUGUGCAGUGCAAGAUGGUAUAAUUUUGGGUUUACACUCCAGAGGGGGGUGCAUGCCUUAGGAACUGGGAGGUGCCUUAGCCGAUCCUUCCCAUGCAGAGCUGAUCUCAGCAUCUGUGUGUAGCUGCAGCUGGGUAUGUCCCUACCUGUAUGUGUGCUGGAGGGGCUUAAGGGCUUGUCACAGCAGUUCAGUGUAAAGGAAGCCCGGUCAGGUGGCUUAGUGGUACCUCAGUUCCAGGUGGCACCCUGGGGGAACCUGUCACACCACUGACUUCAGGGAGGCCAGGAUUUCACCCUGAGAGCUAAAUUCUAACUUUACAUCUGCUCCUGGCCCUUUAGGCCCAAAAUCUGCACAGGGCGUAUUUAGCAGAAUUUGGCCAGAACUCAUUACAAGGUAGCCAUUAGUGUUUAAGGUGGGGGCACUUCUCAGCUGAAACUUUCCAUACCUUCUUUGCUUUUUUUCUUUCUUUCUGAGGUUACCUUCUCUUCCAGCCUCACAGCUUCUAAAUUACACCAAUUUAGACCCACUUUCCUCAGUAUAAUUAACACCAUUUUACAUCUACUCAGAAUGUUGUCCUUUGUCUUUGUGUAACUGGAACCUAAGGAUUGAUAUAAAAAUAACAAAAAUAUGAACAAGGACACUUGACCCAAGGUCCUUAAUAUAGAUUUCCCAGUAUGAUCCCAUAUCAUGCAAUCCAAAUAGGAUAUGACUGGAUUUAAUUACUGUACUGGAUUGCAUUCCUUUCUACAUGUAAUUAAAAUCAGAUUAAAAUAAGUGCUUUACAUUUGUUUAAAUGAAUUUAAUAAUCAAAUAUUAAUGUUUAUAACCAAAAUAAAGCAACUCCAUUAAAAUGGAGAAAGAUCUUUCAAGCCAAAAGCUUUUGCCUCUGUGUAAUGUUUUUCAAAUAGGUUUCUGUUAACAUCUGAUCUUUAUUUCAUACAACUUUUAUCUUUCAUCACCGAGUCCUUGGAGAAUGUUCUCUGGAGCUUUUCAUAAGACAAAUUGAAGUAGCAAGAGUGUGCAGCAUUGAGUGCAUGAUUUUGCAGGCUGUUCUUCAGGAAUAAAUCCAUCCAGAAUCUUGAUAUUUCAAUCUUCCUGUCCAAAAACAUCAAGCUUUAUCUACAUUGUCUUGUGGGUUUUACUGCAAUUUUAUUACA